rnacentral:rRNA from 1 species
UGAACGCUGGCGGCGUGCCUAAUACAUGCAAGUCGAGCGAACAGAUGAGGAGCUUGCUCCUCUGACGUUAGCGGCGGACGGGUGAGUAACACGUGGAUAACCUACCUAUAAGACUGGGAUAACUUCGGGAAACCGGAGCUAAUACCGGAUAAUAUAUUGAACCGCAUGGUUCAAUAGUGAAAGACGGUUUUGCUGUCACUUAUAGAUGGAUCCGCGCCGCAUUAGCUAGUUGGUAAGGUAACGGCUUACCAAGGCAACGAUGCGUAGCCGACCUGAGAGGGUGAUCGGCCACACUGGAACUGAGACACGGUCCAGACUCCUACGGGAGGCAGCAGUAGGGAAUCUUCCGCAAUGGGCGAAAGCCUGACGGAGCAACGCCGCGCGAGUGAUGAAGGUCUUCGGAUCGUAAAACUCUGUUAUUAGGGAAGAACAAAUGUGUAAGUAACUAUGCACGUCUUGACGGUACCUAAUCAGAAAGCCACGGCUAACUACGUG